rnacentral:tRNA from 1 species
CACAAGAUAGCUCAGUUGGUAGAGCACCUGACUAAAGAUUCAGGGGGCCUGGGUUCGAAUCCCGGUCUGGUCU